GCCAAGACUAGAUGAAGCAACAGUCUUUCCCAGCUGUAAUUUCUAAGAUUUUUGAAAAAUAAAAAUCACAGUUGAGUAAAAGGAAAGCCAUUCAAUGUGACACUUUCAAAAACUGGGAGUAAGGGCAAUGGCCGGAAAGGUUAGCCCACAGAAGCAGUUCUAGGGGUUGCUCCAUGGCAGAGCAGAGCUGGCCUUCACACAGAGGGCUACCUGGGCUUCCACUGUGAGCAGCAACAUCUGAAAUCUGAAUCUUUGCCUGGGGCUCACUCCAGUCAAGACACCCUUGUCAUGCAGGGAAGUCCUGUACCAACAGUCCAUGGGGCAGGGCACAGAAAUGGUUACUAGCAAAGAGCCUGGAAGAACUCUGCCUUCAGGACACACUGCUGCAGGAGCUGUGGAGGCCCAUGCCCCAGCAGCCUGUGGGUGUGUCCAGGGAUUGCACUCCUAUGGACUGUCAAGUUCAUUGGUUCCACCCUCUAUCCAGAUGUGGAGUCACAGCCUGCCUUCCUUCUUUAGCUUGCAGCUUCUUUAAAUAACCAUGAUGUUGCAACCAGAAUACAGCUUCUUAAACUCUGACCUUGGCAUGUUUGAAGGAGAAAAAAAAAAUGCAGCCACAUGUCAUUUGGAUUUCUGUGGAUGUCAUUGCAGACUCCUUGUGCUUGAGAAGAAGCGCUGUAAGACUAAAAGAGCAAGUAUAACCUUCAGGGUGUUUCCACUUUUUAAAAAGUUAUAAGUACAUAUUUGAACACAUUUGUUAAUAUGAAUACAUCUACACAAGCUGGGAGCACCAUGACAUAAAUAAACCUUCUGUUACUGGUGUGAGA
rnacentral:lncRNA from 1 species